rfam:Aspergillus parasiticus ST-1 636, whole genome shotgun sequence.
ACAUACGACCAUAGGGUGUGGAGAACAGGGCUUCCCGUCCGCUCAGCCGUACUUAAGCCACACGCCGGAAGGUUAGUAGUUGGGUGGGUGACCACCAGCGAAUCCCUUCUGUUGUAUGUA